rnacentral:rRNA from 1 species
UCCGAACUGUGCGAACGUUAUUCGGAAUCACUGGGCUUACAGGGUGCGUAGGCGGCCGAACAAGUCAGGUGUGAAAGCCCUCGGCUCAACCGAGGAACUGCGCUUGAAACUGUUUGGCUCGAGUCAACUAGAGGUGCACGGAACUUCCAGUGGAGCGGUGAAAUUCGUAGAUAUUGGGAAGAACACCAGUGGCGAAGGCGGCUAACUGGUCCGAUACUGACGCUGAGGUGCGAAAGCGUGGGGAGCAAACAGG